UACCGAACCGCCGACACGAGUUGUUGCUGGCCCUCAAACGGGGGCAAGUGCACGCUCUGUUUGCACAUCCACUCACACCUGUGCACCUUCCCUGUAGUUCUGUGGCCUGAAGGUCCUCUGUCCUCUUGCUGCGGCUCUGCAUCUUUACACACGCACUGUAACAAAGUCUUAUGGAAUGUGAUGCCGCGUUUAACGCAAUACAAUACAACUUUCAGCAACGGAUCUCUUGGCUCUCGCAUCGAUGAAGAACGCAGCGAAAUGCGAUAAGUAAUGUGAAUUGCAGAAUUCAGUGAAUCAUCGAAUCUUUGAACGCACCUUGCGCCCUUUGGCUAUUCCGAAGGGCAUGCCUGUUUGAGUAUCAUGAACACCUCAACUCUCAUGGUUCGCCAUGAUGAGCUUGGACUUUGGAGGUCUUGCUGGCCUGUGGUCGGCUCCUCUCAAACAAAUCAGCUUGCCGGCGUUUGGUGGCAUCGCGGGUGUGAUAAAUAUCUACGCUUGCGGUUUCCGCCAGAUAACCUUUCAGCAAUGGAGGUUUCGCCGGAGCUUAUAAACGUCUCUCCUCGGUGAGGACGGUGCUCUGAACGUUUG
rnacentral:misc_RNA from 1 species